CGGGGAGUAGCGCAGCUUGGUAGCGCACCUGGAUGGGGGCCAGGAGGUCGGCCGUUCGAAUCGGCUCUCCCCGACCA
rnacentral:tRNA from 1 species